AACGAACGCUGGCGGCAUGCCUAACACAUGCAAGUCGAACGAGACCUCCGGGUCUAGUGGCGCACGGGUGUGUAACGCGUGGGAACCUGCCCUUAGGCUCGGAAUAAUUCUCCGAAAGGGGUGCUAAUACCGGAUAAUGUCCUCGGAUCAAAGAUUUAUCGCCUUUGUAUGGGCCCGCGUUGGAUUAGCUAGUUGGUAGGGUAAAAGCCUACCAAGGCGACGAUCCAUAGCUGGUCUGAGAGGAUGAUCAGCGACACUGGGACUGAGACACGGCCCAGACUCCUACGGGAGGCAGCAGUGGGGAAUAUUGGACAAUGGGCGAAAGCCUGAUCCAGCAAUGCCGCGUGAGUGAUGAAGGCCUUAGGGUUGUAAAGCUCUUUUACCCGGGAUGAUAAUGACGGUACCGGGAGAAUAAGCUCCGGCUAACUCCGUG
rnacentral:rRNA from 1 species